GUGAAUGAUGUGCUAAUAGUUGUAAGCAGAGGUUUCCCUCUCUCCUCCCUCAGUUUGGAGCAUGCCUUAUGGUCUCAGGAACACUGACUGAGAGAUGUGCACUCCUGCCUUGGGGGUGAUAAAUGGCUCUCAGUGGUCAGGAAUGGGACUACCUUCAUCUCUGAGGUAUUUGCAGCUGCCUCUGCUUGAGCAAGCUCCCUAUCUCUGCAGGGCUCCCUUCUGCCUCCAGUGAACAGUGAUAAUAUCACUUUCCUGCCUCCCAAGAUUGCUGUGAGUAAAUGCAUUAGAAAAUUAUUUGGCUGGGCUAGUGCUUAGUAU
rnacentral:lncRNA from 12 species